rnacentral:rRNA from 1 species
GGGGGGGGUCGGGUCGGAUUCAAUAUAUCGUCUUCGUGUAAACACGCUGUCCUUGAAAUGCUACCUGCAGCCAGCACCGUGGUUCCAAUAGCAGGUCCUCCUCCUGGAUCGAAUGGCCCUGCUACAAUGAAGCUGGAGACGGGAUGAUCUGGCCGUCUCCACCGCCUGACUCCCAGUGCCGUGUCAACCUUGGUCCCACUGGUACUGCAUCUGGUCCGCCGCGCCCGCGCCGCUCGACGGCCUCGGUGACGCAGGAGAGCGGGCAGGAGGCGUCGAGGAGGAGCGCAAGAGGCGCCGGAGCGGCGUCGGCGUCCCGGUCCUGACGGAUCUUGACACCUCUGAUUCAAAUCAUCUGGCCUCCCACAACCUCAGAAUCCACUGCCGAACUUUGCGUCGAGAUCGCCGUCACCCAUGGCUCGCCGUCCUGAGUGGAAGCCGUCCUUCUGCCUACCCCUCAGUCUCGAGGUGGAUUUCGGGAUGGGGCAACCCAGGCAGGGUGAGGAGAGGAACGGGGAGGAGAGGGCGUGGGAGAAGCGGCGGAGCCGGUGGCGCAGCGACUCGGGCGAGGACGAGGCGAGGGGGAGGGGAAUGGCAGAGCGGUGAGGGAAAAAAA